UACGAAGGUCCCAAGCGUUGUUCGGAAUCACUGGGCGUAAAGGGUGCGUAGGCGGAAUGGUAAGUCAGAUGUGAAAUCCCGGGGCUCAACCCCGGAACUGCAUUUGAUACUGCCGUACUAGAGUAAUGGAGGGGUAGCUGGAAUUCUCGGUGUAGCAGUGAAAUGCGUAGAUAUCGAGAGGAACACUCGUGGCGAAGGCGAGCUACUGGACAUUUACUGACGCUGAGGCUCGAAGGCUAGGGUAGCGAAAGGG
rnacentral:rRNA from 1 species